rnacentral:pre_miRNA from 1 species
AAGAGAAGAAUCUAUCUAGCCAGCCAAGGGAGAUUGCCUAAAGCCACCACAGGUUUCCAAUCAUUGCUUAGAAAACAAAGUCCAUUAGAGCAAGCAAGCCAUCCUUGGCAAUUAAAAAAGGCUCUCAAUU